GACGAACGCGGCGGCGUGCUUAACACAUGCAAGUCGAACGGAGCUAUUUAUUUCGGUAGAUAGCUUAGUGGCAAACGGGUGAGUAACGCGUAGGCAACCUGCCCUCAGGAUGGGGACAACGGCUCGAAAGAGCCGCUAAUACCGAAUGACGUAACUCUUCCACAUGGAAGAGAUACUAAAGAUGGGUCAAACCAUCGCCUAAGGAUGGGCCUGCGUCUGAUUAGCCAGUUGGUGAGGUAACGGCUCACCAAAGCGACGAUCAGUAGCCGGUCUGAGAGGAUGAACGGCCACAAUGGGACUGAGACACGGCCCAUACUCCUACGGGAGGCAGCAGUGGGGAAUCUUCCGCAAUGGGCGAAAGCCUGACGGAGCAACGCCGCGUGAGUGAAGAAGGUCUUCGGAUCGUAAAGCUCUGUUGUCGGGGACGAAAGGGUAGACGAGGUAAUGCGUUACUAAGACGGUACCCC
rnacentral:rRNA from 1 species